rnacentral:piRNA from 1 species
UGAUGGAUGAUGUCUGCCAUGACUGGG